UUGAUUUUCCAUUAGAGAGAAGACUAAAAAGAUUUGGGAACGAUAUGAAGAUAUUAUGAUGAGGUACAUCGCAAUGACUGAUGAAGUCGUAGCUUUGAAAAGUGAGACUGGUGUUACGGAAAGAAUGAGAUUGCGUGCAGAGGAGGAAAUAGUUAAACUUAAACGGGAGAUUGAGAAGAAAGGUGAAGGUGACCAUAAAGAGGAGGAUCUGAUUCCAGUUGUUGAAAAUUCACUUCCACAAGAAAUUCAAAACAAAAAGAAGUGCCGAUUUGCUCCAGAAACAAUUGAACCCUCUUCGAAAAAACUUGUUGCCAAAAAAGAAAUUAACAAAAUCCCUUACUUGACUUCUAGCUAGUGUGUGUGUGUGUGUGUGUGUGUGUGUGUGUGUGUGUGUGUGUGUGUGUGUGACCUUUUAGUAUUUCUAGAAUUUAUACAUAAAGUUUUUGAAUAUUUCUCCUUGGUUGCCAUUAUCAUGGAAGCCUGGUUCAUUAUAAGACACUUUCUCUGGCUUUUCAUUUAAUUUCUACUUCUGAGAAUGCUUCGUGUAUGCAAAAUAACUGGAGUUGUUCUUUGACUUUAUACCCAUGACAAAAUCCAGGUCCCUGCCUUUUAGCUUGUGAACUAAUAUCAUGUGUUGUGUGGUGAAUUAAUGCACUGAGUUUAGACUGGAAUGCCUAUAAUUCGGUGCAUGUGGUACGGACGGACAGUAUUGGGAAGGAGUUUUGUCACAUUUUCUGAAAAGUGUCUGGAGCAGCUAGUUCAAAGACUCACGUGCCAUGAAAAUAUUUAAGACCUUGUAGGUAUGAACAGGUUGACCUUACGAAUAGUGACAGAAAGACAUUGAUUAGUGAUCCUUAUGUCAUCAGAGUGAGAGUGAUUACUAAGGUUAAUAAAUCCAUCAAGAAAGCUAGUGGGAAAUGUUCUUAUGCUAUAAAGAGCCGCUACGCAAUUGUUAGCAUCCUACUUAAACAGUGAAUGGGCAUUAUUUAGUUAAGAUAUAACAGAAAAUGUAUGGAUUAUAGGCAAAGUUGAAACUGACUGUAAAUCAUGUUGUGGAGAAGUAUGUGCCGAGUUACUGGAUUAUAAGGCUGGAACGCACUGUGGUUAGUAGCAGAGUUUGAUGUACUUUUGGUUAGAAUACGAAUGUGAAAAUGUCAGCAAGCAAGAAUUAUUAGUAAUUUUUGCAUCUGUAAAAAGACUGAUGAUGUGCAGUGUUCAAAAACUUCAGAACAACUUGCCUAUCGACUCGAUGUGUGAUCGAUGUUCACACUGAAUAAUUGUAAGAAAAAGUGUUUGUGGUCCUCUUUCAUUUGGUGUAUUAUUUAUAACUGUAAGGUGAGUGUAAUGUGUGCUACAAAGCCUUAAAACCCUUAUAUUCAUUUUUAAA